CUACGGGUGGCUGCAGUGGGGAAUAUUGCACAAUGGGCGCAAGCCUGAUGCAGCCAUGCCGCGUGUGUGAAGAAGGCCUUCGGGUUGUAAAGCACUUUCAGCGGGGAGGAAGGCGGUGAGGUUAAUAACCUCAUCGAUUGACGUUACCCGCAGAAGAAGCACCGGCUAACUCCGUGCCAGCAGCCGCGGUAAUACGGAGGGUGCAAGCGUUAAUCGGAAUUACUGGGCGUAAAGCGCACGCAGACGGUCUGUCAAGUCGGAUGUGAAAUCCCCGGGCUCAACCUGGGAACUGCAUUCGAAACUGGCAAGCUAGAGUCUUGUAGAGGGGGGUAGAAUUCCAGGUGUAGCGGUGAAAUGCGUAGAGAUCUGGAGGAAUACCGGUGGCGAAGGCGGCCCCCUGGACAAAGACUGACGCUCAGGUGCGAAAGCGUGGGGAGCAAACAGGAUUAGAUACCCCGGUAGUC
rnacentral:rRNA from 1 species